rnacentral:tRNA from 1 species
AUUUUAAUUCAUACUCUUCGUUUAUUUACAUUGAAGAUGUAAAAUUAAUUAGAGUA